AACACAUUCAAGCUUCUUUUUAAUUUUUGCUUGGUCUUGAGGGAUGAGCGAGACAGAAUAGAACUUUUUAAAAUUCUUGUUCUAUCUUGCUCACCCAUCGAAUUUCAGUGGCGGAUUUAAGCACAGUUGGCCCGGUGUGAUACGGUUUUCAUGUCAUCGGUCCAGCGUGUGGUAACCUCCUGCCCAUAGAAACUCCCCUCUAAUAUUAUUAUC
rnacentral:misc_RNA from 3 species